ACAUCCCCCUUCCCCUCUUGAACGCACCGUCGCUUCUGCUCUCCUCCUCCUCUCCACUUCGCCGCCUCCUCCGCCCUCUCCUCCGCCACCUACACCGAUUUCUCAAGAUGAAUGGCUGUUUGCGAACAACAUUAUUGGAGGAAAAUGCUCCACAUAGAUUUCGCCGUUUUGUGAUUAUUCCAACUCUUCCUCUUCCAUACUCACUGUAUCAGAUGAAUCGUCCGAGACUCGAGCGAAGGAACCGUUGUUGUUUUCUACCCCGCCUUGUCUCGAUGAGCUAAAGCUUACUGUCGUGAGAAAGAGUCGUUCGAAGAUAAUACGGAUUUCCGAGAAGUGGAAUCUCAGUUCUACAGACGAUGUUACCUUAUCUUCAGACUCGGCGUUCUCGGAGACAACUUCUUGUUUGUCAAGCAGCUCAAGCGUGGUCACAAGCGCGCCGAUCCAUCGCUUGGUUGCAAGAGCAGAGAAGAAGUUAGAAAUGAUCCGUCACGCGUGGAGGAAAAAGCAGGUGGUAUCGGCUCAUAUGCGACGGCGUGCGGAAGCCAUUCUGAGUUACCUCUCCGGUGGCUGUUCGUCUGAGGUGAAAAUACGGCAAGUGAAUGGAGACAGCCCUGACACAAGCAAGGCUCUCAGAAUGUAAUUAGUAAUUCAUUAUUCCCUCUCCCAACUCCUCACCACGUUGGCUCUAAAGUCAUGCUUUUAUCCAGUGCCUUCCAAUUCUCUCACAUUUACUGUACACGGUAGGAUCAUCUAUGCCCUCGGAUUAAUCACACCUCUCAUCAUAAUUUAUAAUGCAUAAGGUUUAAAGAUAGAAAUUGGGAAUGAAUUUAAUCAAUGCUUUCAUAUGUGCGUUCAAAUACUAGGCAAUGAAUAGAUCCAUAUUUUGAAGGUUAUUAGUAUCAGUUUUAUGUUAAUAUAAUUGAUUUGGGUCUUGUUUCACCUUCUUUUGGCGGGCUGUUAAAACUGGAAGAGAUCAAAAGAUCCGGAACAGGUGGGCGUCAAAAUCCCUAUAUGUACAAGAUUGCUUGACAAACUCCGAGUUAAUGAUCCGUUCAUUUAUUGCCUGAGCCGUAUUGAUUCUCAAGCAAAUCCAAUUGAUUGGGAAGUUUUGAUUAGGCCUGCUUUGUAAGCAAAUUAAGUAUCGUAGAGUAACAUAGGAUACUAGAAUUGAUUAAAGCUUCAUACGAAACAUAUGGCUUUGAAGUAUAGAUCUUAGCUUCAUUUUAGAAUCUCUCCAUAUCAUUGAUUAAUUCAGUUAUGUGAUAUAGGUAUAAUCUUGUACUAUAAGCAUCGAC